GUAUGGAAUCUACCUUGUACAGGGGAAUAGCCUUUGGAAACGAAGAUUAAUGCCCCAUAGUAUCAUUUUACAGCAUUGUAUUUUGAUUAAAGGCUUCGGCCGGUAUAAGAUGACCAUGCGUCCCAUUAGUUUGUUGGUAAGGUAACGGCUUACCAAGACUACGAUGGGUAGGGGCCCUGAGAGGGGGAUCCCCCACACUGGUACUGAGACACGGACCAGACUCCUACGGGAGGCAGCAGUGAGGAAUAUUGGACAAUGGAGGAGACUCUGAUCCAGCCAUGCCGCGUGCAGGAAGAAUGCCCUAUGGGUAGUAAACUGCUUUUAUACAGGAAGAAAAAGAGCUACGUGUAGCUUACUGACGGUACUGUAAGAAUAAGGACCGGCUAACUCCGUGCCAGCAGCCGCGGUAAUACGGAGGGUCCGAGCGUUAUCCGGAAUUAUUGGGUUUAAAGGGUCCGUAGGCGGGCGAUUAAGUCAGUGGUGAAAGUCUGCAGCUCAACUGUAGAACUGCCUUUGAUACUGGUCGUCUUGAGUUAUAGUGAAGUUGCCGGAAUAUGUAGUGUAGCGGUGAAAUGCAUAGAUAUUACAUAGAACACCGAUUGCGAAGGCAGGUGACUAACUAUAUACUGACGCUGAUGGACGAAAGCGUGGGGAGCGAACAGGAUUAGAUACCCUGGUAGUCCACGCCGUAAACGAUGGAUACUAGCUGUCCGGAACCUUGAGUUCUGGGCGGCCAAGCGAAAGU
rnacentral:rRNA from 1 species